rnacentral:lncRNA from 1 species
CUACAUACAUAUAUGUACACUUAUUUAUUUAUAAGCCUUAGUUAAAGUUAGAAAAAUUAAUUUUGCAUAUGGAUAAGUCCCACAAAUUAGCACUGGUUUAAAAGAAGCCUGAAAGAUAUCAUUUUGCUUCUUUAAAAGUAAAAAAUGCCAAUGCAGAAUUUAAAAGUAGAGUAUCAUGCUAAUAACUUUUUAUCUUUAGAUUAUUGCUCAUUUUUCACAGUGAUUCAUUCACUCAUGCAACAAGUGUUUGACAAACACCAGCUAUAAAGAGGUACCAUUCACAAAGACCUUUGACCCGGAGAACCCUACGAUGUGUAGCAGGCAGGUAAUGGAGAUCCCUCCUUCACAUAUCAUCCAAACAUCAUUACAGAGGCUCUUCAUGUAUUCUGAAAGUAAAGAAGAGAGAAGACACAUGACUUCCACAGAGCGUGUUCAACAUUGAAGGGGGAACGAAAACAGUAAACGAGCAUCAGUGUGUGUUUAUGGAGCAGAGUGAUAAAGCCAGUGUAUAAAAUGUCAGUCAAGUGACAUAUUAAAAUUCCGGGUGGCUAUAUUUAUGUGGACAGAAAAGACUCUUCUUCGAAGACACUUAAGCUGUGCCCCCAAGAGACCAUAGGAAGACUAUUAUCAGGUGGAAUCAAGUGUCUUUUUGCUGCUAUUGUCGCUAUCAUUAACAACUAUGUUUAUGGGUUGUGUGGUGGUAUGUGCCUCUUGUUCCACACUUGGGAAAUGGAAGGCAAGGAGAUUUUGAGUUCAUGGCCAGCCUGAGUUAUAUAAAAGCUAAGUCCCAAAUUAGAAAAGGAAAUUAAUAACAGAUUAAUACUUUAAUCAUUGAUAUAUACUUGACUCUGUGUCUACAUCUACAUGUGUGAGAACGUGCAUGAACUUCCAGGAGGACUCACAAGUGGUUCAUGAUGCUGGGUAUGACUUAGGACAGAGACGAUGCCUCGGGAGUAAGAAGGAAAACAAAUGAGAAGCCAAACCCUUGAAGAGGAAGGUGUGAAUGGAACCCAGUGUUCACUGGCAACAGCAGAGGAUCUGAGAAGCAGAUCCCAAUGUGGAGAGCAUUGGCAAAUAAGCUGGAGAAGAAGGGCCUUGUGGAAGAUGUGUAACGUAAAUUAAGCCUUGACAGGGGAAACCAGCCCAAAAG